rnacentral:rRNA from 1 species
UAUAGUUUAUUUGAUAAUCUCUUACUACUUGGAUAACCGUAGUAAUUCUAGAGCUAAUACAUGCAUAAAUACCCAACUGUUCGCGGACGGGUAGUAUUUAUUAGAUUGAAACCAAUUGGGCUUGCUCAUUUUGUGGUGAUUCAUAAUAACUUUGCGGAUCGCAUGGCCUUGCGCUGGCGAUAGAUCAUUCAAGUUUCUGCCCUAUCAGCUUUGGAUGGUAGGGUAUUGGCCUACCAUGGCUUUAACGGGUAACGGAGAAUUAGGGUUCGAUUCCGGAGAGGGAGCCUGAGAGACGGCUACCACA